rnacentral:rRNA from 1 species
GACGAACGCUGGCGGCGUGCCUAAUACAUGCAAGUAGAACGCUGAAGAGAGGAGCUUGCUCUUCUUGGAUGAGUUGCGAACGGGUGAGUAACGCGUAGGUAACCUGCCUUGUAGCGGGGGAUAACUAUUGGAAACGAUAGCUAAUACCGCAUAACAAUGGAUGACACAUGUCAUUUAUUUGAAAGGGGCAAUUGCUCCACUACAAGAUGGACCUGCGUUGUAUUAGCUAGUAGGUGAGGUAAUGGCUCACCUAGGCGACGAUACAUAGCCGACCUGAGAGGGUGAUCGGCCACACUGGGACUGAGACACGGCCCAGACUCCUACGGGAGGCAGCAGUAGGGAAUCUUCGGCAAUGGGGGCAACCCUGACCGAGCAACGCCGCGUGAGUGAAGAAGGUUUUCGGAUCGCAAAGCUCUGUUGUAAGUCAAGAACGGGUGUGAGAGUGGAAAGUUCACACUGUGACGGUAGCUUAUCAGAAAGGGACGGCUAACUACGUGCCAGCAGCCGCGGUAAUACGUAGGUCCCGAGCGUUGUCCGGAUUUAUUGGGCGUAAAGCGAGCGCAGGCGGUUUGAUAAGUCUGAAGUUAAAGGCUGUGGCUCAACCAUAGUUCGCUUUGGAAACUGUCAAACUUGAGUGCAGAAGGGGAGAGUGGAAUUCCAUGUGUAGCGGUGAAAUGCGUAGAUAUAUGGAGGAACACCGGUGGCGAAAGCGGCUCUCUGGUCUGUAACUGACGCUGAGGCUCGAAAGCGUGGGGAGCGAACAGG